UUGCAAACCCAAGCUUGCUCUGCAUGAAAUGGCAGAUGUAAGGGGAAGAGGUUUGCUAAAUUAAAUGUGGUAACAGAUGCACAUUUGUUAGACAUAAUGUUAUGGCUAUUUAUUUUGUGCCAUUGCAACA
ensembl:snoRNA SNORA66 Small nucleolar RNA SNORA66